rnacentral:rRNA from 1 species
UCGAGAAUCUUCCGCAAUGGGCGAAAGCCUGACGGAGCAAUGCCGCGUGCAGGAUGAAGGCCCUCGGGUUGUAAACUGCUGUCAUCGGGGACGAAAAAAAUGACGGUACCCGGAGAGGAAGCAACGGCUAACUACGUGCCAGCAGCCGCGGUAAUACGUAGGUUGCGAGCGUUGUUCGGAUUUAUUGGGCGUAAAGGGUUCGUAGGGGGUUGAUUAAGUCUGACGUGAAAUCCCGGAGCUUAACUCCGGAACUGCGUUGGAAACUGGUCGACUAGAGCGUCGGAGAGGGGAGUGGAAUUCCUGGUGUAGCGGUGGAAUGCGUAGAUAUCAGGAGGAACACCGAAAGCGAAGGCAGCUCCCUGGACGACUGCUGACCCUGAGGAACGAAAGCGUGGGGAGCAAACAGG